GACAGAGACACAGAGAGACAGAGAGAGAUUCUUAAUCAGUUGGCAGUCCUAUAUUUGGCACCCCUGAUCCAUUCUUUUCCAUGAACAGAAAAAUUAUGAAAGAAAAUAUAAGUCAUAAUUUUCUUUGGCUAAAAAUCCAACCAUAUUCUUCAUUAUAAAGAUUUUAAUGUACAUGUUUAUUUUAGUGUAUUUUAGCUUUCUUAGAAGUCUGAUUUGUAAUCUAAUUUAUACUCAGAAGUGCCUUCAUCAGGCAAACACAAACACUGGGUGUUUAAUUUCAUAGAGAAUUCCUACCCAGAGCAACACCAACUCACUGGCAUCCCAUUCUUAGCUCCUUAUCUUUUAAGUAUUCAUUAUUUUAUCUGUAAAAAGAGAAGAACCAGAAAGUCCUUUCCUAUUUUUAUUUCUUUUCCUGCUAUUCCUUUCAAAUGUGAAUAGGAGGUAGAAACAAAAUAAACCCUCUGUAUUUUUGCUUCUCCCACUACUAUUCCAUCCCUUCUAAAGAGCAGAGCACUCUAUGAUAUGUGUUGUUUGGCACUAGAGAGAACAUGGCUCUCCGUUCUAGAAAGGUUAGAGAAAUAAGCAUUUCCCAUAUACUCAGAACCCACAGUAGGAGCAGAUUCUUGAGUCUUCUAAUUUUGUUACAUCAUUUCUGUGUAACCUGUAAAUCAUCUUGCAGUUUUUAAAGCUAUUAGUAAACAGAACCAGUUUCUUCAGUGAAAAAGAAAUGCUUUUUAUUUUAGAUCUCUAAGUGAAUGAAUACAGUUUAGUUCCCCUAAAAGACAGUAGAAUAAAAGCAUUGGAAACAAAUGCUGAAUUAUGCCAUAGGCCUUUCAGAGGGACAGAUUAAGUCAGAUUUGUACAAUCAGUUCUCUCUGCAAAGUUGGAGGGUGUUUUAAAUGCACAUUGUCUCAGUCAUAUAUGCUAUCCUUUAGAGAUACAGCGAGGGAAACAGAGGCAAUGGACUUUGACUUUAGUUUAAUUCUAGUUUAUAUUCCAGAUUACUGGUUGCAGCUGGUUGCACAGUACAAGUCAAAUAUGUACAGAAAAUAUUGGGCAGAUGAAUAAUAUGUUGUGCCCGCACAUUCAUGAAAUUUGAGUCACAGUAUGAACUACAUAUCAUUUUUAUGUCACCUACCCUCCUUAUUAUAAAACUCACCCAUUAAGUUAAUAUAAUCAUAUAAUCAGUUUAAUCUCAAAUAGCAUUUAGAAGAAACAAGAGAUUCUUGCCCUGCAACGAAGGAGCAGGCAGACUGUAUUAUUUCAAAGCCCUGCUUCCUUUAACUUCAUAUAUCAUUUAAUGUACAAUCAUACCAAUUUUGGUGUUUUCAAAAGUUAGCAAACAAACCUCCAAAAUUAAUUAUUUGAAAAUAAUUAAUAUCGAAAGAAAGGUUGUACCAGGGUUACAUUUUUCAAAUUAAAUAUAGAAGCAAAGUCAACAUUUUCUCUGUAAUACUUUUGCUAUGGUCAAAGCAUAAACCCUAAUAUACAGUCAGAAUAAAAACCAUGAUAAACAGUGAUUAGAAGCUGAGAAGUAGCAGGGAUUACAAGCUUGCAUCUAUGACAGUGGUGACCAAAUUGCUUGAUUUCAACAUUUUCUUUCAAUAAAUGUUGAUGUAAUCAAAUCUGCUUUCCUAUUGGCCUCAAGGGAGGUCCUGGCAGAGGCCUGGCCACUUGGAACUAGCUAACUGAGGUCUCAAGAUAAAUAUUUUAACCCAUGCCAUCCAUUAAUAAUUGUUAUUUUCCUUCCAACUUUUAUUGCUUUUGCUUUUCUAAACUCUUCCGUUCAUAUUUUUUCAUGCUUUCUUUUGUGGAGUCAAGUCAUGUAUGCUGUUGGAUGUAAAAAAUAAAAUAAAAAAUAAAACAAAACCAUAGAUUAAGGGGGAAAGUUGAUGGUGAAUUUGUUGUUUCUGGGCCAAAGACCUAGGAGUGAGGCACUCGAGUACAAGGUCCACAGUGCUGGGUAUCAAUGGCUAGUUGUUAUAAGCAUGUAUUCAGUUAUUAAAACAGUUGACAUUUUACAUCUGAUAUAGCACAGUCAUGACACUAAUUUACCAAGAGCAUUGUGAGCAACUUCUUAGGAAAAAGAAAGCAUAAAGAAUGCACAGAUGCAAGAAGGUUAAAAAAAAAAGUCUAAUCAAUGAGACAGAGGCAUUCAGUUUAACACAUAAAACGUGAUGAAUUCUGCAAGCCUCUUGCUGUAACUGACAAAUAAGUGUGCUAGGCUAAUCUCUCUCUCUCUCUCUCUCUCUCUCUCUCUCUCUCUCUCUCUCUCUCUCUCUCUCUGUGUGUGUGUGUGUGUGUGUGUGUGUGUGUGUGUGUGUGUGUGUGUGAAUCUUUGUUUUAACUUUCCUUCUGAUUCCAAGCUCCAGCCACACUCGGUCUCCGGUCUUGGAAAUCGUGCUUCAUGUUUUCUGUGUUGAUGAACUACACAGUGGCUGGCUCAUUGCUGUCCUUCCUGUCUGUCAACCCCCGCCUCUAUAUUUCAUUUCAUUUUCCCCUACCUUUCCCAUCCUUGUCUUUCCUGCCUUUUUCCUUUCUCCUGAGAAUAUGCAGUUAGCAUCAUGUUUCCUUUUGGUGGCCACUUCUUUCUUUGUGCCUGAGGGUUGCUCUCCCUCCCACACCCAUUUCCUGUUCCUUCUUUCAAAUCAGAAGCCGUGCCAUGUUUAUGCUCCAGUCAACUUGGGUGGUGAAGCCUUGAGAUUGUGGGUGAAGAAAUCCAUCCAGUUUGCAACAUUUCUACCAGUAUGCUGAUUUUCAUGGAGACUACUGAUGGAAAACAAAGAAUCCAUCUCAGCGGGAUACAAGGCAAAACUUCCAAACAGCAAGAACACUGAGACUUGCAAGGGUUCCCAA
ensembl:lncRNA